AGUAUGUAUGUGCGUAGUU
rnacentral:siRNA from 1 species